UACGUAGGGGGCAAGCGUUGUCCGGAAUCAUUGGGCGUAAAGAGCGUGUAGGCGGCCCGAUAAGUCCGCUGUGAAAGUCCAGGGCUCAACCCUGGAAUGCCGGUGGAUACUGUCGGGCUCGAAUCCGGAAGAGGUGAGUGGAAUUCCUGGUGUAGCGGUGAAAUGCGCAGAUAUCAGGAGGAACACUAAUGGCGAAGGCAGCUCACUGGGACGGUAUUGACGCUGAGACGCGAAAGCGUGGGGAGCAAACAGG
rnacentral:rRNA from 1 species